CGCGUCCUACGGGAGGCAGCAGUGGGGAAUAUUGCACAAUGGGGGAAACCCUGAUGCAGCAACGCCGCGUGAGUGAAGAAGUAUUUCGGUAUGUAAAGCUCUAUCAGCAGGGAAGAAAAUGACGGUACCUGAGUAAGAAGCCCCGGCUAACUACGUGCCAGCAGCCGCGGUAAUACGUAGGGGGCAAGCGUUAUCCGGAUUUACUGGGUGUAAAGGGAGCGUAGACGGCGAUGCAAGUCUGAAGUGAAAGCCCGGG
rnacentral:rRNA from 1 species